rnacentral:lncRNA from 12 species
CACUGUCUGUUUAUACGGAAAAAGAAGAGGACUAGACGGUGGUGAAUCAUCGAUUGGAACUUAAAGAAAACAGGAAGGAGUCUGAGGAGACAUUUCUAUUUGGACAUGGACAACGCUGUAACAACAUGAUGGCAAUGGAAACAAAGCAAAGGGAGAGCUAUGGUGGUGAACACUCAGAUGAAGUGGAUUUUUAUCAAUAGCACGGCUGCUGGGAGGGCAACCGAAGAUAUUACACAUGCGGAUGUUUGCAAAAACAAUGAACCGUUCUUCAUGGGUGAGGAUGAUAUUCCCCACCCGCCCUCCAAGAGGAUGAGCUCACAGUUGGUUACCCCAGGGAGAAGACCACUCCCGUCACCUCGUUGCCAUUUGUCAUGUGCUGGCCAGGUUGGGGCUGCUGCUGGUGAAGAGAACAAAGUUUGCCUGUGUGCAAGGCUCACUGACCCCCCAUUCACAAAUCCCACCGAUCAGUCUUCCUGGCAUGAGCCACAGACCCACGCAGCUAACUCUUCCAAGUCAUGUAAGAACAAAUGGGCCAGCGCACAGGGUCCGCCCCCCAGAGCAGGCUGCUCGGCAAGCCCCUUGUUGCCUGGGCUGGGGUCUGUGCACGAGCUCAGCCAGCUGCCACCACUCCCCGCUGCACGCUGGGCCUUGCCCUGCGAAGAUGCCUUACACACGCAUCCCAGAUGUUCCCUGUAA